UUGGGGAGGAGACGCCCUUUGGUUGGUCCUGGCAAGGACCGUGUUUCGGUCGCAGGCACUGUGGGAAACGGAAAAAGAAAGCGAAUUCGAAUAAGACAGCCCCGGUGGAGCCAUGCUUCUUAUGCAGGUGUUUUCCCUUCUUUGCAGGGUUCUGCCUCAAAAUCAGAUGUCUUUCCCACCGCCGUCUAGCAUACGUGCAGGGCUUGAAAGCGCGUUAUGGGGGACUUCCCAGUGCAGAAGCGAAGAGAAGAUGCCUGUAACACUGAUGCCAACAGAAGGAGGCACCCUUGGUUGGUGCGUACAGGGCCCAGUGACAGACGAAGAGGGACUUUAACCACCAACUCAGCUUAGGAGGAAGCCAAGAAUGAAGGUUUUCUAUCUCUCAGCCUUAUGGUAAGGCCAACAGAUCAGAGGUGACUGCCAUUGGAAAAACAGCUUGUUACAAUUUCCAAUAAGAGGGGCACAUCACCCAUGGAGGACCACAUAGAGAAAUGCGGGGGUCAGUCAAGAGGCUGAAGGAACAAGGGAAGCAUGGGCAGAAGCCUUUAUUGUGGUUUCUAUGGAAAAGGCAAUGCGAGGUAAGGUAGGUAGGGUUAGAAUUGACGAGUUUGAAUAAUUUUAGAGGGCUCUGGGCAGGGAGGUUAUCUCUAGCUGCCUGUUGUCCAGCCCCGGGGAGAUUAAUGCAGAGAAGUACUGUCCUUUGGGGUGAAAGAGCCCAGAAAGGAGGUAGUUUAGGGCAGGGACUGUGGAUAGCCUAGUUUACGUAUGACAGUUGAGUCAUUUGCUAUCUCUAAGAAUUGGCUGUCUCUAAGAGGGCCAGUCUCUCUCGAGGCGGAGAGGCCCCAGAUGCCUGAGAGUCAGGAAUACAGAAAAUAAGAAAAUAUAGUACAUACAACAAUUAACAUAUACCCUUGAACUCACAAUGUGUGUGUAAAUAAAUGAAAUCAGUAGUGAUAAAGAGAAAUUAUCCUAACUCUGACAUUGGUAUUAAUUUAUGACAUUGGUAAUUAAUUUAUUGGUAUUAACCACAUGAUGUGGUUAGCUGAUAGUUUUAUACAUAAAUACUACCAAAUAUCAAUCAGGAGGAAAUACCAAAAUUGAUCUAAGUAUUGGCUGUUUUUUUCAUUAUUGAAAAACUAUGAUAGGGUCACAAACUUAAAGAUAAAUGUUUUCCUGCAAGGUUGAGAUUAUACUUACUUUUUUUCAAAUUUAGACUGAAAAGGAUCUAUUUUAGGCACAUGCUUUUCCAGCAAAAAUUAGUUUUGUUUCCUUCUAAACAGUUUUCACUUUAUGUGAAUAUUUAUUUAAAAUAAUGUGUAAAAAGGUUUUACAUCAGAAUUUGAAUAUUAAGAACCACGUGAUCUUUCUUUCAAUUUUUUUUUAAUGUUUAUUUAUGAGACAGAGAGAGACAGAGCAUGAGUGGGGGAGGGGC